rnacentral:rRNA from 1 species
UAGUCCACGCCGUAAACGAUGUCUAUUAGCCGUUGGGCAGCUUGACUGUUUAGUGGCGCAGCUAACGCGAUAAAUAGACCGCCUGGGGAGUACGGCCGCAAGGUUAAAACUCAAAUGAAUUGACGGGGGCCCGCACAAGCGGUGGAGCAUGUGGUUUAAUUCGACGCAACGCGAAGAACCUUACCAGGUCUUGACAUCCUCGGAACUUUCUAGAGAUAGAUUGGUGCCUUCGGGAAUCGAGUGGCAGGUGCUGCAUGGCUGUCGUCAGCUCGUGUCGUGAGAUGUUGGGUUAAGUCCCGUAACGAGCGCAACCCUUGUCCUUAGUUACCAGCGAUUCGGUCGGGAACUCUAAGGAGACUGCCGGUGACAAACCGGGAGGAAGGUGGGGACGACGUCAAGUCAUCAUGGCCCUUACGACCUGGGGCUACACACGUGCUACAAUGGGGCAGUACAGGAGGGGCCGCGACCCAGCGAUGGGUGAGCCAAUCCCUUAAAACUGUU